UACGAAGGGGGCUAGCGUUGCUCGGAAUCACUGGGCGUAAAGGGUGCGUAGGCGGGUCUUUAAGUCAGGGGUGAAAUCCUGGAGCUCAACUCCAGAACUGCCUUUGAUACUGAGGAUCUUGAGUUCGGGAGAGGUGAGUGGAACUGCGAGUGUAGAGGUGAAAUUCGUAGAUAUUCGCAAGAACACCAGUGGCGAAGGCGGCUCACUGGCCCGAUACUGACGGCUGAGCACG
rnacentral:rRNA from 1 species